rnacentral:tRNA from 1 species
GCCUGGCUAGCUCAAUCGGUAGAGCGUGAGACUCUUAUUUCAAGGUCAUCUCAAGGCUGUGGGUUCAAGCCCCACGUCGGGCU